rnacentral:rRNA from 1 species
AGCAGCAGCCGCGGUAAUACGUAGGUGGCAAGCGUUGUCCGGAAUUAUUGGGCGUAAAGCGCGCGCAGGCGGAUAGGUCAGUCUGUCCUAAAAGUUCGGGGCUUAACCCCGUGAUGGGAUGGAAACUGCCGAUCUAGAGUAUCGGAGAGGAAAGUGGAAUUCCUAGUGUAGCGGUGAAAUGCGUAGAUAUUAGGAAGAACACCAGUGGCGAAGGCGACUUUCUGGACGAAAACUGACGCUGAGGCGCGAAAGCCAGGGGAGCGAACGGGAUUAGAUACCCCAGUAGUCCCUGUCUCUUAUACA